CAGCGCGCAGGGCGCGUAUCACCAAGCGCAUGGUACAAGCCGCCGGCUCCGGUGAUUAAUUAUCAGCAGCCGCUGGCCUCGCACAUCACCUCGGCUUUCUCGGCAGAGCCAGCACACCCAGCACACCCAGCUGGUGGCCUGGACAGAGGAGCGGCUCUGGGGAGGACGCCGAGGCUGCUCCGGAGCGAGCCCUUAGGGAAACCAUGAAGUAACCCUGCACAUUCCAGUAACACAGUUAUGACAAAACAGAGCCCAACUAUGAAGUGAUCAAAAAUUUUUAAAUGUUAAGAAAGAAAAACAGCACAAACAAAAGUGCACAUAACAAUUCCAGAUUUCUUUAAAAAAAGAAAAGAAAAGAAAGAAAGAAACUUACCUGUUGGGACAUUCUGAAUAAAAGAUUUCUCUGGUCCUACUAACCCUGGAUGUCUCCUGAGGGAAAUAAAAAUCGGUGGAAACAUUUUGAAUACACCCUGAAUCAGGCCAGAUGACAGACACAAGUAAUGGUUUGUACCUGACACCUCCAAAGAAAGUCUACAAUGGCUUGAGUGUACACUUUCUGCUACAUGCACAGCAUGGAACUGAGUAUUUAUGAAUCUAGGGUUUAGAGUAGCAUUUUUUCCCUAUUUUCAGUUAAGGCUCCCUGCACUCUAGACACCCUAUGAUGCUGAUGCCCAGACCAACAUCAUCAAUCAACUUUUUCCUGGUUCCACCCCUCUAAAGGGAAAAAAAAUACUUUCUGUUCAAGAAUGUAUUCCAGCCCUUCGAGAAGGAAUUUCUUCAGCUGGGAGUUAUUUCCCAAACUAUCAGAGGCGUGGACCUUUGUGUAGUAUUGUGGGUGCCAUGGUUUCACAUGUUGGCCACAUUAAUACUGGAGAGCAAGCAUCUGUAACCCACAGCUGAGUGUGCUCCGGCCCCAAAGCACCCGCAAGGCCAAUGCCAAUGCAAACCACUCUUCCCAUCCCACAUCUGAACCACACUGGCUUUCUCCAGGAGCCAGGGGCUGAGAUACAAUUCUGAAAAUGACGGUUUUGGGUUCUCUCCAUUCACAUGACGGGUAUAGGGUAUUGAGAAGAACACUGUCAAAGGGACUGGAUCUUUUUUCUCUCCCAUUCCACACCAAGUGAAUAAACCAUAAAGAGGUUGUCUGAUGGUGUUCCAAAAUACCCCAGGGGAAAAACCUAAACAGAUAAAUAUAUAUCUUGUUGCACUAUUUUUGUUUUUCUUUCUAGAGUCUUAUAGUUUUAGCACCUUCGGCUAGACUCAUUAAGGUUGAAAAAUAUAGAAGUAUGAAAAAGUGGAAAUAAAGGAGAAACAUGGGAGGCCCUGAUUUUGCAUCACUUUCUCAGAGAGAUCUCCACAAAUCCUAGAAAUAAUGAAAGAGUUGAUGAAAAAAUGUAGGACAAGACUAGUUUCUUGUAUUACUUUUGCUACAACCACCACUGUAGCUAAGAUGAUUAUUCAUAUUAAUGAGUUUGGUGUAUGUAGACAAACUAUAAAAGAUGCAGUCUCUGACCUCAAGUACUUAUCUCUGUCUUAGGGGAUUUACUCCUCCUGCUAGAUUUACUUUUAUUCUCCAUACCCUUGCCUAGAGGAAAUGAUCAUCACUCAGGACUUGGAGCCUUUCCAUGGGUGGAGUUUAAAUAUGGCAACAAGAAGAGAAGGAACCUUUGCCCUUGAACACAGACAAUGUUGGCACCACAACUCGGGAUGUCUAGUUUGUGACAAAAAGAAAUAUAAACUCCUUGUGAAAUAUUUACACUGGCCUUACUGAGCUUUAUCAGAAAAACCUUAUAAAGUAGGAACGAAGAUAGUAUUCCAGUGUUUUAUCACAUCCAGUACACAUAUAAACCAUAUCAUUGGACACAAAUGAGCUAAUAUUAGACAACAAUUUCAACUUUCUCUUUACAUUCAGUUACUUAUGUUUUGUGUGUGUGCUUAUAGCAACCUAUGGAGUCAGUUUUGCCCAGUGGUUAAGUGCCAAAGUUCUGCAGUCGAUUACGCGGGUUUGAAUACCUGGGGAAACUUUUACUAAUCAUAUGAGCUCAGCAAGUUAC